rnacentral:rRNA from 1 species
CAAUAGCGUAUAUUAAAGUUGUUGCAGUUAAAAAGCUCGUAGUUGAAUUUUUGCUUGCCGCCGAUGUCGGAACUUCCGUACGUUCGGCGGCGUGCAUCCUUGGGUGGAACCUGUGUGGCAUUAGGUUGUCGUGCAGGGGAUGCCCAUCUUUUACUGUGAAAAAAUUAGAGUGUUCAAAGCAGGCUUAUGCCGUUGAAUAUAUUAGCAUGGAAUAAUAAGAUAGGACUUUGUCGCUAUUUUGUUGGUUUGCGCGAUAAGGUAAUGAUUAAUAGGGACAGUUGGGGGUAUUCGUAUUCCAUUGUCAGAGGUGAAAUUCUUGGAUUUUUGGAAGACGAACUACUGCGAAAGCAUUUACCAAGGAUGUUUUCAUUA